rnacentral:rRNA from 1 species
UUAGAUAAGAAGAGUAUUCUAAGGCGCACGAGUGAGCCCUCUUUUAGGAACUAGGCAAGUUAGCCCCGUAACUUCGGGAAAAGGGGCGCCUUAUUAGGGUGAAGCCGUACAGGCGGAGCCCGAGGAGGCCGCAGAGAAAUGGCUCUAGCGACUGUUUAAUAAAAACACAGGACUCUGCAAAGACAUAAAAUCGAUGUAUAGGGUCUGACGCCUGCCCGGUGCUGGAAGGUUAAGGGAAGGGGUUAGCCGUAAGGCGAAGCUCUGAACCGAAGCCCCAGUAAACGGCGGCCGUAACAAUAACGGUCCUAAGGUAGCGAAAUUCCUUGUCGGGUAAGUUCCGACCCGCACGAAAGGCGUAACGACUUGAGCGCUGUCUCAAAGAGGGGCUCGGCGAAAUUGUGGUACCGGUGAAGACGCCGGUUACCUGCCGCUGGACGGAAAGACCCCGGCACCUUAACUGCAUCCUAGCAUUGGAUUUCGGUCCAUGAUGCGCAGGAUAGGUGGGAGGCUAUGAAGCAUCGGCUCCGGCCGGUGUGGAGCCAACGGUGAGAUACCACUCUUCCUGGUCUCAGAUUCUAACCUCCGCCCCUGAUCGGGGCGAGGAACAGUGUUAGGUGGGUAGUUUGACUGGGGCGGUCGCCUCCUAAAAUGUAACGGAGGCGCCCAAAGGUUCCCUCAGGUUGUUUGGAAAUCAACCGCAGAGUGCAAAGGCAUAAGGGAGCUUGACUGUGAGGCCGACGGGCCGAACAGGUGGGAAACCAGGGCUUAGUGAUCCGGUGAUCCUGUAUGGAAGGGUCAUCGCUCAACGGAUAAAAGGUACGCCGGGGAUAACAGGCUAAUAGUGUCCAAGAGCUCACAUCGACGACACUGUCUGGCACCUCGAUGUCGGCUCAUCUCAUCCUGGGGCUGAAGCAGGUCCCAAGGGUCCGGCUGUUCGCCGGUUAAAGAGGUACGUGAGCUGGGUUUAGAACGUCGCGAGACAGUUCGGUCCCUAUCCACGGUAGGCGUAGGAGAUUUGAGGGGGGCUGCCCAUAGUACGAAAGGACCUGGGUGGACGAACCUCUAGUGUACCAGUUGUCCCGCCAGGGGCAGCGCUGGGUAGCUACGUUCGGUUGUGAUAACCGCUGAAAGCAUAUAAGCGGGAAGCACGCCCCAAGAUAAGAUCUCCCUCCCGCAAGGGCUGAAGGUCCCUGGUAGACGACCAGGUUGAUAGGCUGGAGGUGUAAGCGCAGAGAUGCGUUCAGCUGACCAGUACUAAUAGACCGUGAGGCUUGACCAU